rnacentral:lncRNA from 1 species
UCCUGGGUGCGAAGCUUCAUGCUGCCUGGAUAGGUGUCACUUUUGCCAGGCAGCAGUUUUAUGCGGAGAGGAUCUUCCUUGAGGGUGACUCAACCAUUGUCAUUGCUUGACUUUAGAGGGGUGCUAGACAGCUCGGAUGUCAUCUUCUUAUCCAGGAUGUCUAAACUUCUCUUUGCCAAGCUGCUGCAGUCAGAGUUCA